CUACGGGCUGCAGCAGUGGGGAAUAUUGCACAAUGGGCGCAAGCCUGAUGCAGCCAUGCCGCGUGUAUGAAGAAGGCCUUCGGGUUGUAAAGUACUUUCAGCGGGGAGGAAGGGAGUAAAGUUAAUACCUUUGCUCAUUGACGUUACCCGCAGAAGAAGCACCGGCUAACUCCGUGCCAGCAGCCGCGGUAAUACGGAGGGUGCAAGCGUUAAUCGGAAUUACUGGGCGUAAAGCGCACGCAGGCGGUUUGUUAAGUCAGAUGUGAAAUCCCCGGGCUCAACCUGGGAACUGCAUCUGAUACUGGCAAGCUUGAGUGUGGUAGAGGGGGGUAGAAUUCCAGGUGUAGCGGUGAAAUGCGUAGAGAUCUGGAGGAAUACCGGUGGCGAAGGCGGCCCCCUGGACGAAGACUGACGCUCAGGUGCGAAAGCGUGGGGAGCAAACAGGAUUAGAUACCCCUGUAGUC
rnacentral:rRNA from 1 species